rnacentral:pre_miRNA from 1 species
AUUGAAUGGUUUGUUUUAGCCUGAGCUAUGGAAAAUUAUAGCCGCAUAGCUUCUUGCUAAAACAAACCAGUCGAU